CCACCCUCCAGACCUAGAAAACAGUCAAUCGACUGUCAUCAUCUACUUUUGUCUGAUACAAUGAUUUACUACACACUAACUUGUAUAAUGUGUGGUCCUUCCCUCGGCAUAACCUUCUCAAGUUCAUCUAUGGGAUCUCCAACUAUGAUGCAGCCAUCUAGUUCUGAUUGCCAUUUCCACCGGUGAAAACCGUCUUCCUGAUCCAUGUUUAUCCUCACGGCGCUCCCCUUCCCAGUGAUGCGAGUGAGUAUCUGAGGAUGGAACGGGAGCAUUGACAUCCAGGCCCACUGACCUAGUCCCGAAGAAGCCAGCACACAAGGAAAAGAGACAAGGAACUGAAGUUGUAAUUGAGACAAAAGCAGUCUGCUCAUCUGUGAUUCUCCCAGCAUCUGCUGAAGGUUUGCAAGAACUUAUGCCCAGUGGGUUCCUGGCAUCUGGCUCAGAGUUUGCACUCAGAAAUGUCUUCUGAAUUAAGAUGAACAGAAAUGCAUUCUUACUUCAGCCGCUAUGUCACUGGAUGACCGACCGUCUCGUGUUUGCUCAUAUAAAGAUUGGCCAGGCAGAGCUCUGUGUCUCCUUUGCUUUUGCAUGCCUGUCCUGGGGCUUCGAAUGGAGAGACCUCAUGCUUAAAGAAAGGGCUGUGGAGAAAUAGUUCUGGAAAUUUGACCCUUCAAACUUUAUUUUUUAUCUU